rnacentral:rRNA from 1 species
UACGUAGGGUGCGAGCGUUAAUCGGAAUUACUGGGCGUAAAGCGUGUGUAGGCGGUUCUCUAAGUCGGAUGUGAAAUCCCUGGGCUCAACCCAGGAAGUGCACUCGAAACUGGAGGGCUAGAGUAUCGGAGAGGUUGGUGGAAUUCUCGGUGUAGAGGUGAAAUUCGUAGAUAUCGAGAGGAACACCGGUGGCGAAGGCGGCCAACUGGACGAAUACUGACGCUGAGACACGAAAGCGUGGGGAGCAAACAGG